rnacentral:tRNA from 1 species
GCCUGGGUGGCUCAGUCAGUUAAGCGUCUGACUUCAGCUCUGAUCUCACAACCGGUUUGUGGGUUCGAGCCCCGCAUCGGGCU